UUUUUUGUGGUGCAGUGGUCUGAGUGUUGGAUUACAACUCUGGAGAUCAGGGUUCGAUUCCCUACUUGAAAU